AUUGAACGCUGGCGGCAGGCCUAACACAUGCAAGUCGAGCGGAUGAAGGGAGCUUGCUCCUGGAUUCAGCGGCGGACGGGUGAGUAAUGCCUAGGAAUCUGCCUGGUAGUGGGGGAUAACGUCCGGAAACGGGCGCUAAUACCGCAUACGUCCUGAGGGAGAAAGUGGGGGAUCUUCGGACCUCACGCUAUCAGAUGAGCCUAGGUCGGAUUAGCUAGUUGGUGGGGUAAAGGCCUACCAAGGCGACGAUCCGUAACUGGUCUGAGAGGAUGAUCAGUCACACUGGAACUGAGACACGGUCCAGACUCCUACGGGAGGCAGCAGUGGGGAAUAUUGGACAAUGGGCGAAAGCCUGAUCCAGCCAUGCCGCGUGUGUGAAGAAGGUCUUCGGAUUGUAAAGCACUGUAAGUUGGGAGGAAGGGCAGUAAGUUAAUACCUGGCUGUUUUGACGUUACCAACAGAAUAAGCACCGGCUAACUUCGUG
rnacentral:rRNA from 1 species